rnacentral:rRNA from 1 species
CCUACGGGAGGCAGCAGUGAGGAAUAUUGGACAAUGGGCGCAAGCCUGAUCCAGCCAUGCCGCGUGCAGGAAGACGCAUCUAUGGUGUGUAAACUGCUUUUGUACGGGAAGAAACACUCCCUCGUGAGGGAGCUUGACGGUACCGUAAGAAUAAGGAUCGGCUAACUCCGUGCCAGCAGCCGCGGUAAUACGGAGGAUCCAAGCGUUAUCCGGAAUCAUUGGGUUUAAAGGGUCCGUAGGCGGUUUAAUAAGUCAGUGGUGAAAGCCCAUCGCUCAACGAUGGAACGGCCAUUGAUACUGUUAGACUUGAAUUACUAGGAAGUAACUAGAAUAUGUAGUGUAGCGGUGAAAUGCUUAGAUAUUACAUGGAAUACCAAUUGCGAAGGCAGGUUACUACUAGUGGAUUGACGCUGAUGGACGAAAGCGUGGGGAGCGAACAGGAUUAGAUACCCUGGUAGUCCACGACGUAACGAUAGAUACUAGCUGUGGUCGCGAGUACUAGUGGNGUAGAGAAGAGAGUAAGUACCGACCGUACGGGAGGUACGGUUCGUCGAGAAGUUAGAAACGUACGAAAGGAAAGUUAGACGGCGUUGAGACGNGCGACGGACGACGACGAGGGAGGAGG